UACAGAGGGGGCAAGCGUUAUUCGGAAUUAUUGGGCGUAAAGGGCGCGUAGGCGGCUAAACAAGUGACGGGUGAAAGCCCUCGGCUUAACCGAGGAACUGCCUGUCAGACUGUUUGGCUUGAGACCGGGAGAGGUGAGUGGAAUUCCCAGUGUAGCGGUGAAAUGCGUAGAUAUUGGGAGGAACACCAGUGGCGAAGGCGGCUCACUGGACCGGAACUGACGCUGAGGCGCGAAAGCGUGGGGAGCAAACAGG
rnacentral:rRNA from 1 species